rnacentral:rRNA from 1 species
UCCUACGGGAGGCAGCAGUGAGGAAUAUUGGGCAAUGGGGGCGAGCCUGAUCCAGCCAUCCCGCGUGAAGGACUAAGGCCUUAUGGGUUGUAAACUUCUUUUAUGGUGGGAUAAACCUACUUACGCGUAAGUAGCUGAAGUACAG